rnacentral:rRNA from 1 species
UUUAAAUGGCCGCAGUAUAUUAACUGUGCAAAGGUAGCAUAAUCAUUAGUCUUUUAAUUGAAGGCUGGUAUGAAUGGUUGAACGAAAUAUUAACUGUUUCAUAUAAAUUUAUAUUAGAAUUUUAUUUUUUAGUCAAAAAGCUAAAAUAAAUUUAAAAGACGAGAAGACCCUAUAAAUCUUUAUAUUUAAAUUAUUAUAAUUUUAUAGAUUUAUUUUAUUAUAAUUAUUAAUAGUAUUUUAUUGGGGUGAUAUUAAAAUUUAAUAAACUUUUAAUUUUUUUUAAUCAUUAAUUUAUGAAUAAAUGAUCCGUUAUUUAACGAUUAAAAAUUUAAGUUACUUUAGGGAUAACAGCGUAAUUUUUUUGGAGAGUUCAUAUCAAUAGAAAAGAUUGCGACCUCGAUGUUGGAUUAAGAUAAAAUUUUAGGUGUAGUUGCUUAAAUUU